CUUUAUACCCAGUGCAUCAAUGUCAUCGCAGUCGGGAAUGUCUGCCCUUGAUUUUAUAGGAUCGUUAGAAUAAUAUAAAUGUAUUCUUCUACCGAUUCUAGAAGAAAGGGCGGACAUUCCCGACUGCUAUUACAAUUACGCAGUGGACUUAUUCCAGAAUUUAGUCUUUAGUUGCUUACCUUGAUCUAUCCACAUUUCACACAACGAAAACGGUAAAGAACGUUCAAUAAAAAACUGAAUCAUUUUGUACCUGUUUUGGCUGGUUUUGUCAUAGCGUAUGAAAUUAAAAGUCAUUUUUAAAGAUAAAAUAAAAUAAAAUAUCUAAAAUAAAAGCUUUUAAGCUCUCUAUAAAUUUUC
rnacentral:sRNA from 1 species